rnacentral:rRNA from 1 species
UACGGAGGGGGCUAGCGUUGUUCGGAAUUACUGGGCGUAAAGCGCACGUAGGCGGACCUGCAAGUUGGGGGUGAAAUCCCGGGGCUCAACCCCGGAACUGCCUCCAAAACUGCUGGUCUGGAGGUCGAGAGAGGUGAGUGGAAUUCCAGGUGUAGCGGUGAAAUGCGUAGAUAUCUGGAGGAACACCGGUGGCGAAGGCGGCAUCCUGGACCGAUAUUGACGCUGAUGCGCGAAAGCCAGGGGAGCAAACGGG